AGCCCAGCGCGCAAAAAAAAAGUCACACACAUAAAUUUCUCAAAUUAAAAGCUUGGCAGCAGACGCCGACGCCGGCAGCGACGUCAACUUCAACGCAGCCAGCAUGCCUCUUGUAUGAUUAUUACCGUUAAGUACAGUGGGUUAUGUGUGCGCGCGACCCAACAUGUCUGUGGUUUUGCGAUAGACACCGCAUAAAAUCGCGUACAAAACAAAUCAAAAAUUUUGUAUUCGAGUGUAACCGACUAGCCAAUACACUGUAUGUAAUGUAAAGCCAGCCUAAAGAUCGAUAAAGCUUGGCUCAGUGACUCUUAGACUAUAUGUGGAUUCAGCUGGGGGUGCGACGAUUGCUUUCUGAUUGCUGUUGGUGACUCUCAAACUGUAGAAAGCUUUCAAACUGUGAACAGGACCUAACACGUCUGUGCUUGUGCGACAGAGACAGCUGUUUAUAGCGUAACCCCAGCCUAAAGAUAAGUUGAAAACGCUUGGCUCAGUGACUCUUAGACUGUGAGCCCCAGGCAGUUCCUCUCAAACUGUAUAAAUUUAUAAACAAUUCCGUUGUGGGUAGGGCAAUUCUUUUUUGAAUGGUCUGGCUGACUCUCAAACUGUAAAAGGCUUUCAAACUGUGAUCUUUGAUCUCUGAUCUGCCUAAUUGAUGUAUCU